GUGCAUGCUCCUGGUGCAUGAUUUGCAUGCAAACCUUGCUUGGUGCAUGCUCCCAGUGCAUGUUCUGCAUGCAAAGAUGCUUGGUGCAUGCUCAGGGUGCUCUGUGCAUGCAAACCUUGCUCCGUGCACGCUUUUGGUGCAUGUUCUGGGUGCCAAACUGCUCCGUGCACGUUCCCAGUGCACACGGCGCUUGCAAACUGUGCUCUGUGCAUGCUCCUGGUGGGCGUUUUGCAUGCAGAGGCACUCUGUGUGUGCUCCCAGCGUGCACUGGGCGUGCUAACUGUGCUCCAUGCGCGCUCACGGCGCGCACCGCGCAUGCAAAAGUGCUGCGUGCGUGCUCGCGGUGCACGUGGUGCGUGCAAACCCUACUCAGUGCAUGCUCACGGCGUGUGUUCUGGGCGCAAAACUGCUCGGGGCACGCUGAUGGUGCACGGUUUGCAUGCAAACCUUGCUCUCUUCAUGCUCACAGCGCACCUUCUGCAGGCAAACGUGCUCCGUGCACGCUCACGGUGUGCACUGUGCAUGCAAAAGUGCUCUGUGCAUGCUCACAGUGCCCAUGGUGCAUGCAAACAGCGCGCGGUGUACGCUCACGGUGCGCGUUUUGCAUGCAAAGGUGCUCUGUGUGUGCUCGCAGUGUGCACAGGGCACGCAAAACCUGCUUGGUGCACGCUCAGUGUGCAUUGCGCAUGCAAGCCUUGCUCCGUGCACGCUCCCGGUGCACACUGUGCUUGGAAACUGUGCUCGGUGCAUGCUCCUGGUGCACGUUCUGUGUGCAGACCUUGCUCUGUGCAUGCUCUUGGUGCAUGUGCUGGGCGCAAAACUUGCUCCGUGCACGCUCCCGGUGCACAAUUUGCACACAAACAUGCUCCAUGCGUGCUCACAGGGUGCACUGUGCCUACAGACCCUGCUCCGUGCACCCUCACAGUGCACACUGUGCUUGCAAACUGCGAUCUGGGCCCGCUCCUGGUGCAUGUUCUGCAUGCAAACCCUGCUCAGUGCAUGCCCCUGGUGCACAAUUUGCGUGCAAACCUUGCUUGGUGCAUGCUCCCAGUGCACAUUGUGCAUGCAAACCUUGCUCCAUGCACACUCCUGGUGCACACUGUGCUUGCAAACUGUGCUCGGUGCAUGCAAACCUUGCUCUGUGCUUGCUCUUGGUGCAUGUUCUGGGUGCAAAACUGCUCUGUGCAUGGUCACAGUGCACAAUUUGCAUGCAAACCCUGCUUGGUGCUUGCUCAGUGUGCACUGUGCAUGCAAACCUUGCUCCAUGCACGCUCCCAGCACACAAUUUGCAUGCAAAGCUUGCUCUGUGCACGCUCUUGGUGCAUGUUCUGGGUGCAAAACUGUUCCGUGCAUGCCCUUGGUGCACGAUUUGCAAGCAAAGGUGCCCCGUGCACGCUCCCAGUGCACACGGCGCUUGCAAACUGUGCUCUGUGCAUGCCCCUGGUGCACGUUCUGCGUGCAAACCUUGCUCAGUGCAUGCCCCUGGUGCAUGCUCUGGGCAUAAACCUUGCUCUGUGCAUGCUCCCAGUGCAUGUUCUGCAUGCAAAGAUGCUUGGUGCAUGCUCCCAGUGCACAAUUUGCAAGCAAAGGUGCCCCGUGCACGCUCAGUGUGCACUGUGCACGCAAACCUUGCUUGGUGCAUGCUCCCAGUGCACACUGUGCUUGCAAACUGUGCUCGGUGCAUGCAAACCUUGCUCCGUGCACGCUCUUGGUGCAUGUUCUGGGUGCCAAACUGCUCUGUGCAUGCUCCCGGUGCACGAUUUCCACGCAAAGGUGCUCAGUGCAUGCUCAGUGUGCUCUGUGCAUGCAAACCUUGCUCAGUGCAUGCU
ensembl:lncRNA